GUCGAACGAAGCCUUCGGGUUUAGUGGCGCACGGGUGCGUAACGCGUGGGAAUCUGCCCCUUGGUUCGGAAUAACAGUUGGAAACGACUGCUAAUACCGGAUGAUGACGUAAGUCCAAAGAUUUAUCGCCGAGGGAUGAGCCCGCGUAGGAUUAGGUAGUUGGUGUGGUAAAGGCGCACCAAGCCGACGAUCCUUAGCUGGUCUGAGAGGAUGAUCAGCCACACUGGGACUGAGACACGGCCCAGACUCCUACGGGAGGCAGCAGUGGGGAAUAUUGGACAAUGGGCGAAAGCCUGAUCCAGCAAUGCCGCGUGAGUGAUGAAGGCCUUAGGGUUGUAAAGCUCUUUUACCCGGGAUGAUAAUGACAGUACCGGGAGAAUAAGCUCCGGCUAACUCCGUGCCAGCCGCC
rnacentral:rRNA from 1 species